rnacentral:tRNA from 2 species
GCCGCUGUGGUCCAGAUGGAGACGACACCAAGAUACGGAGGCCCAGGUUCAAGUCCUGGCGGCGGUGCCA